rnacentral:rRNA from 1 species
GACGUAGGAGGCGAGCGUUGUCCGGAGUUACUGGGCGUAAAGGGCGCGCAGGCGGUCUGGUAAGUUUGGAGUGACAGUGCUCGGCUUAACUGAGCAAGGCUUUCGAAAACUAUCAGACUUGAGCACUCAAGAGGGACAUAGAAUUCCGGGUGGAGUGGUGAAAUGCGUAGAUAUCCGGAGGAAUACCAAAGGCGAAGGCAGUGUCCUGGGGAGUGUCUGACGCUCAGGCGCGAAAGCUAGGGGAGCGAACAGG